rnacentral:rRNA from 1 species
ACUCCUACGGGAGGCAGCAGUGGGGAAUUUUGCGCAAUGGGGGAAACCCUGACGCAGCAACGCCGCGUGAGUGAUGAAGGCCUUCGGGUCGUAAAGCUCUGUCAGAGGGAAAGAAGUGCAGUGGUGCUAAUACCAUCAUUGCUUGACGGUACCCUCAAAGGAAGCACCGGCUAACUCCGUGCCAGCAGCCGCGGUAAUACGGAGGGUGCGAGCGUUGUUCGGAAUUAUUGGGCGUAAAGCGCGUGCAGGCGGUCUUUUAAGUCUGAUGUGAAAGCCCCGGGCUCAACCUGGGAAGUGCAUUGGAAACUGGGAGACUUGAAUACGGGAGAGGGUAGUGGAAUUCCUAGUGUAGGAGUGAAAUCCGUAGAUAUUAGGAGGAACACCGGUGGCGAAGGCGGCUACCUGGACCGAUAUUGACGCUGAGACGCGAAAGCGUGGGGAGCAAACAGGAUUAGAUACCCUGGUAGUCCACGCCGUAAACGAUGAGUACUAGGUGUUGCGGGUAUUGACCCCUGCAGUGCCGCAGCUAACGCAUUAAGUACUCCGCCUGGGAAGUACGGUCGCAAGACUAAAACUCAAAGGUAAUUGACGGU